AUGAACGCUGGCGGCGUGCCUAAUACAUGCAAGUCGAGCGAACGGACGAGAAGCUUGCUUCUCUGAUGUUAGCGGCGGACGGGUGAGUAACACGUGGAUAACCUACCUAUAAGACUGGGAUAACUUCGGGAAACCGUAGCUAAUACCGGAUAAUAUUUUGAACCGCAUGGUUCAAAAGUGAAAGACGGUCUUGCUGUCACUUAUAGAUGGAUCCGCGCUGCAUUAGCUAGUUGGUAAGGUAACGGCUUACCAAGGCAACGAUGCAUAGCCGACCUGAGAGGGUGAUCGGCCACACUGGAACUGAGACACGGUCCAGACUCCUACGGGAGGCAGCAGUAGGGAAUCUUCCGCAAUGGGCGAAAGCCUGACGGAGCAACGCCGCGUGAGUGAUGAAGGUCUUCGGAUCGUAAAACUCUGUUAUUAGGGAAGAGCAUAUGUGUAAGUAACUGUGCACAUCUUGACGGUACCUAAUCAGAAAGCCACGGCUAACUACGUG
rnacentral:rRNA from 1 species